AACGAACGCUGGCGGCAUGCCUAACACAUGCAAGUCGAACGAGACCUUCGGGUCUAGUGGCGCACGGGUGCGUAACGCGUGGGAAUCUGCCCUUGGGUUCGGAAUAACAGUUAGAAAUGACUGCUAAUACCGGAUAAUGUCUUCGGACCAAAGAUUUAUCGUCCAGGGAUGAGCCCGCGUAGGAUUAGCUAGUUGGUGAGGUAAAGGCUCACCAAGGCGACGAUCCUUAGCUGGUCUGAGAGGAUGAUCAGCCACACUGGGACUGAGACACGGCCCAGACUCCUACGGGAGGCAGCAGUGGGGAAUAUUGGACAAUGGCGAAAGCCUGAUCCAGCAAUGCCGCGUGAGUGAUGAAGGCCUUAGGGUUGUAAAGCUCUUUUACCCGGGAUGAUAAUGACAGUACCGGGAGAAUAAGCCCCCGGCUAACUCCGUGCCAGCAGCCGCGGUAA
rnacentral:rRNA from 1 species